UGUUAGCUUUCACAAGCACGAAAACCUUGAAUUGAGCUAUUGAAGUAGGUGGCUCUCUGGCGUCCUCCAUUGUGUGUCGUGUGGUUUAUGCCAUCAACUAUUUGUUUGAAACAAUAUCUCCUUACCGCGAGGCAGAUUCAAAGUACAUCUUGUAGAAAAAUACAACUUUAAAAGUCUUCUCUUCAUAAACCGGUAAACAAAUUUUACGAACAUAUUCUUGUAUCAACUUAUCAAUAAUCAAUCAAUAUUACAAUUGCAUUAGUUUAUAGGCCUGCAACAAUUGCUGCCGGAACCUGCGCUGUCCUGAAAAUGAGAAAAGAACAGAGGAACAAUACAGGAGGGUUUAGACAUGGCAAUGGACAAGGUCAACGAGGUCGUGGUCAACAAGGUCGGGUUCAACAAGGUCAAGGUCAAGAAAGUCGAAACACAUGGAUAGGUCGAGGAGGUAGAUACGUCUGCUUUGGGUUUUGGAAUGUCAACUGUUGGAAUCCAAAUGCAAAUACAGACAAUUUUUACUUAAGACAACAAUGUAUUGAUUAUUGAAAUUUUGAUGUUAUAGGUAUUUGUGAAACUCAUCUAACAGUUUAAAAUGUUAUUGAUCUACCAGGAUACAUUUACUUUGGUUACAAUAGAAAAACUUUACAUGUAAAUGCUACGAGUGGAUCGGGGGGAGUUGGGUUUUUAGUUGUAAAAGACUUGGCAGAUAGUUUUUAUAUCAAUGUGCACGAUGACAGCUAUGAAUUUAUUUUAUGGUUUGAAUUACUAAGUUACAGUCGGGCUUUUCAUUGUAUAGCUGUGUAUAGCCAAAUAAUUGUCUAGACAUGUUGAUGCUUAUAAAUUUUAUGAUACUCUGUUAACAAUUGUAUACUCAUAUCAGAACUAUGGUCCAUUAAUUAUAUGUGGAGACUUUAAUAGUAUAAUUGGUGAUUCUGAUGAUUUCAUUGUUGGUAUAGACGCCAUACUCGGUAGAAAUGUAGUUGAUUUUACAACAAAUGUAUAUGGUGAUAAACUUUUACAAUUUUUAA